GCGAAAAUUAACUUGCCAUCCGUUUGCGCGGUAAGCGGAAAAGCAAAAAGUAAGCGGAAACCGCUUUGACGUCACAAAAUAAUUUAUGCGUUUUGACGCCAGAUUUGUAAGAAAGGAAAGGUACUGACCAGUAACAGUCACAUCCGUAUUUGACCAAAUACACUGCUUCAGCGCUUUAUAAUUGAAAUUAUUAACUUGAAUUCUGGCAAAGAACUUAAUGUUAACAUGCACUCGCUGAUCAGGGAAAUUUGUUGAAAUUAACCAAGACAUGCAAAGGCGGGAUUUUUAAGACUUGGAUGGUUAUAGACAUUUUGACGAAUAGACUUCAGAAUAUCUUUCAGAAGUCUGAAAUUCUCAUUUAGCUAAAUACGAUUUUAGGAAAUACGUAAUAGGGCUAGGCCGUUUGCUGUGACCUCGAAAAGUGCCAAAAAACGAUUUUCAUUCAUUAAGCAUGUCUUGGAACUGGAAUAUUUUUAUGGGAACUAACACUUUCGAACACGCUGAGUUCAAAUCCGAAAACUUCCCGCGCCGUAGACCCGCAGUUUUCUCACAAACUGCUAUUUUAUCUUCACUAAUUUCACGUGACAAAAUGUUUCGUUGUUCAACGACACGGAUGGAUGAAGACACACGAUUGCAUAACUCAAAAUGACUAAUUCCUAUGAACCAGUCUCUACAUUGAACAGAAGACCGUUUUGCUAAGUUUAUAUGUAAUUUUAAGCGCGUUGGACGUAAACAACAUAUCUUGUCUACAAACUUUGGGAAGGUACCAAUAUCGCUAUGUAAAUCCUCAGUUCUGGCUGUAUAGCUAUCUCUAUAAAAUCACAAGGACGUCAAUGUUAAGUCGUUGGCCUAUAUCUCUGGGAUGAGAAAUUUUUCCUCACAUGCGAUCAAAAUGUUUUAUACAACGAUGUAAAACGGUAAUCUUAUGGAAUGGGUCAGCAUUUACAUUUCCAACACCUGACAGUUUCUGAAAUAUAACUCAAGAGGUAACUUUAUUAUCAUUGCAUUUGAACUAUUAUAUCAAUUGGUGUUAUUCUGAAAUCACCAAAUGAAGAGCUUAUGGCGUUAUGCACACAUUUCUCCACUUCGUCGUAUAAAGUUUACAGCAGGUUUUAUACCUUGGCACUGAUCUUUGUCUUUGAUGUGAACAUAGUUAUUCUCCUAGUUUAUUAAGGUUAUUACACUUGACGCUCAAUUUUUGGUACGGCAGGGUAUCCGUACCACUUUUUUGGUCCUUGGACUACCUAUUUAGGUAGUCCAAGAACCAAAAUUGACUGAGCGUAGUGUAAACAGAGCUUUUAAGAUUAAUCCUGUCGUAAGUCUUCUAGCAGCAACCAAUCGACAAUAUUUCACAUUUUAGCGUUGUCUUUGCCGUUACGUUGGCUUCGCAUUACUUUCGCUUGAUCGCGUUAAAAUAGUUAUUUUUCAGGCCAGUGACAUCGCCAAAAGACUUAGCAUUAACUUCCUUGUGAUUUUACAUACUUUAAUUUUACAUACAUGAUUUUACGAGAUAUCGCUAGAACUGAGGAUUUUAGAAAGCGUUAUCUGUACCUUCUCAUGUUCUCAAAGUUGUAGAUAUGUUGUCAGUUUAUACGUCCAACACGCAUAUAAGAUUACAGUAAUAACAUAACUCAAAUUAAUAGUGAUUCGAGCAAAACGGUCUUUUGUUAAAACUAGGAAGACUGGUUAAUAGAAAUUGGUCGUUUUGAGUGAUAUAAUCGUGUGUCGUUAUCGAUCCGUGUCGUUGAACACGGUUAAUAACAAUGAAAAUAUCGUUGUUGUGAAAUUAGCGAAGAUAAAAUAGCAGUGUGUGAGAUGAAACUGCGUGUCUACGGGGCGAAAAGUUUUCGGAUUUGAACCAGUAUAAUGAGCGUGCUAGCUUUAACGUUCCAAGUCAUGCUUAAUGAAAGUGAACUAAAUCGGGACGCUUGCAUACAUCAAACAGCAUAUAAGAAUAUAUAGGCGACACGAAAUUUCAGUGAAAUGGGAGAAUCUUAACUGCAAGGAAGUGAUCAAACGCCGGACGACGCUCGCACAGUCGCACUCAACGUACGAUGUUAAAAAUGAAGCGCAUCCAUACAGAAUUGAUUCUAUAUAGUACGCACAUCCCGUGAGUGAGAACCAGUUUAUGACGUUAUCCAUGUUCAAGAGUUACUGCCGAUAUUCUAAAAAAACACAAAUUAAAGCUGAUUCCGACACAAUCUUAAAAUAUCACAGAAAGGCGCGAAAAAUAAAAUAAAACUUCUUAUAAUCAAGUAUAUUGCAAUCGUGCUUUUAAAUAAAGAGUAUUUAUUUCGGUGACAGUAUAGGUGUAUUUAUUGGUGUUAAAAUUAGCAGCUAUUUUUCCAUUUUGCGCAAACAAAGUUUCAAAGGUUUUUAAAAGUAUAACUGACUAACUGUCCCUCUUCCGCUCCCAUGACUGGUUCGUUAACUCUCGGAUGUAACUGUCAUUGGUUUAUUUGGUAUAUUCUGUGCAAAUGCAAAACCAUAGUAAAACAUUGGAAUACAGCUUUUGUAUUUUUCGUCGAUAGUGUUUACUUUGUGUUGUAUUAAUAACUAGAGGGCACUCAGAGACUGCAUACCUCCGCCCACAUUAAAUUUCGGUCGUGUGAAAUGCAACUAAGACAAUAGAUAAUUAGGGCUGAAGCUUAAUGAGAUUUAUCAUCUCAUUGUCUUCUUAGUACUGCGUGCAUACAUUAUACACGUCCUAAUUACGCAUUCAGUGAGUUCUUUUUAAUUGACUGGGAUAAGCAAGACAAAAUUUUGUUCAUUUCUCGUUCAAUUUUUAACUAAAUUCAACCAAAUUUUAACCAGUUCUUCCUUAGCCGAUGGGAAAUGCAUUCAAAAAAUUUCGUAUGAAUAUGUUUG